ensembl:lncRNA
UUACAGUGUAAAUAUAAUUACUGUGACAUAGAUUUGCUUUGGUUCACUGAGCUGGCAAUGAGCAAGCUUUACAGCAUUGUAUCUUUUUGUUCUUGCUUAAAUUGCCUUUCUAGUAGGUGGUUGGAGCUAGAACCCAGACCACAGCUGCAGUCCCAAUGUGCUGUUGUAACAGUAUUAGCAUAUAAAGUAGAUAUCAUUGCAGAGUGCAGGGCUGAUUCCUACCGGCCCUAUGCGCUGUGAGUGUAGCGGGAAAGGUCCAUUUCAGUGUGCUUGGCACAGCAGGAACCUGCUGACUUGGCAGUACCUGCAGGAGACUCCGUGCUUUUCAGUGGUGGCUGCUCUACACUCCUGGAUUUUGCCGCCUUGCCAGCAGCACUGGGACCAGAACAAGCAGAGAAGUGUUUUCCAUGGAAAUCUUCUUUCCUAGAUUGAAUGACCCUUAUGCACUGUGUCUUUCCUGGUUGCACAGACAGGUCUGUACCAACAAGUGUUUCUCCUGAAGGAACCUAGAGCAUCUGGACAGGUCUGAGUGGGUCUGGUGUGGAAACGCAGUCCUGGGGAGCUCAGAUACAUGACAGUGCUUAUACAAGUAGUUAACCUAAGAAUAUUGACUACGCCUAUGCAUGUGUUUGCCCUAAUAGCACUGGUCUGAAUCCGAUAUACUUAUUGCCUCCAGAGGAGGCUGGCGGCCAUUUUGUCAGCCCAGAGCUGCUGCUGCAGCUAUGCAGCAGCUUCUUCACUGCUGGUUUCUCUCCAUGUAAACCUUCCUCCCUUACCACAUGUGCCCCCAGGCCCCUGUUUGCCACUCUUUGUCUUUUAGGGGGAAAAAGCCAAGUGUGGGAGGCUGGAUGUUGUUCCCUCUGCUGCCUGAGGGACCCUCUUGUGGCUUCCGGAAGGUUCCACAGAGCUUCCUGUCAGUGCCGUGGGACAGCCAGCGCCUCGCUUAUGACCUGUGGACGAGGGUGCUUCUGUGGCUGUCCAAAAAAAAAGGGAUAAAAAAAUGCUGGAAACAGCACAGCUGGAGAGCACGUAAUACUGCUGAAGAGAUGCAAAGAGAAGAUGCAGUUCUAUUAAGAGAUUUCAUGAGUACGCACAGCUAUGCAGGACAAAAGGACAACUUCUUCAUGAAAAGAAAUACUGUUGCUGGCUCAGACUUGGUGAGAGAAAGAGAUACGGAUACAUUGUAUAUCAGUGGAAGAAGACAUGAGAAGUGUGUGUACUGAAAGUUCUUCAGUGAUGGAUUCAGAAGAGGAGUUACCCUGUAGAAGUCAGCUCUGAAGAGAACAGAACAAACCAAGGCAUUAUUACUGUAACAGACAGAGUUAAACUCAAUUUUGCCUUUAAUUUUUUUUUGUAUUGUGGAGACUUAUUGGUUUGGAACUGCAACUGACUCAAAGACAGUGUCCUUAUACGUGACAGAAUUUGGAAAAUCAACAGAAAUGUAAUUGGGUAGUUUGGUGUGAAAACUUCACUUUUACUGAACAGAUACUUCACACUGCUGAUUUUCUGAAGGUGUUGAUUUGAGCUCCAGAAACUGUGGGUAGAGUUCAGGUGUCUUCAGCAAAAUCUGAGAUGUAGAUGUCUAAAUCCGGGGAAGUUACUGUAGAUUCACUUUACGGUCAAUUGAAGAAAAAUAGGCGCUUUCAGAGAGUGAUUCAUCUCAGCCUAAAACAGGCAGGUCAGACAAACUGCCCCCUGGAGAUGCCUGUUUAUCUCCAUUGACUGUAGAAAAGCCUACAGUGACAAACUUGCAAUUAAAUGUCUAACCUUUGGAUCUCUAAAGCUAGGUUAGAUGAAUCUCAACAUGCCUUAAUAAGGACAGGCUCUGCCAGCUGUACUGGUGUUGAGUGACACCUCCCUUGGGAGAUGUUCUGGUGGGGCUUUUUCUGGAGUGAACUGAGAAGGUACGACUGAGAAAUUCUGGGGUUCCCAAGCAGAAUGAUCCCAGUGCUGAUUUUAAACUUUUAUUUUCCUUUUAGAUUCAGUAGUAUUUGAUUUUCUUGCAAUUUGAAGUAGACAGUUGUGAUUAUUAUUAAUUUUCUUGAGUGGAAUCUUAAAAUUGAAAGUUGAUUUUAUUCUGUGCAGUGUUAAAGUGGCUAUCUACCCUUUUCAAAAGCAGAUAACUGUCUUCCGUGUGUUGUCCAAAUUUCCUUUCCCCAUCUGCUGUAUUGCAAAGUACAGAGUUACUUCCCCAUUAGCCUGGUAAGCAUACUGGGAUGUGAG